rnacentral:rRNA from 1 species
GAUGAACGCUGGCGGCGUGCCUAAUACAUGCAAGUCGAGCGAACGGACGAGAAGCUUGCUUCUCUGAUGUUAGCGGCGGACGGGUGAGUAACACGUGGAUAACCUACCUAUAAGACUGGGAUAACUUCGGGAAACCGGAGCUAAUACCGGAUAAUAUUUUGAACCGCAUGGUUCAAAAGUGAAAGACGGUCUUGCUGUCACUUAUAAAUGGAUCCGCGCUGCAUUAGCUAGUUGGUAAGGUAACGGCUUACCAAGGCAACGAUGCAUAGCCGACCUGAGAGGGUGAUCGGCCACACUGGAACUGAGACACGGUCCAGACUCCUACGGGAGGCAGCAGUAGGGAAUCUUCCGCAAUGGGCGAAAGCCUGACGGAGCAACGCCGCGUGAGUGAUGAAGGUCUUCGGAUCGUAAAACUCUGUUAUUAGGGAAGAACAUAUGUGUAAGUAACUGUGCACAUCUUGACGGUACCUAAUCAGAAAGCCACGGCUAACUACGUGCCAGCAGCCGCGGUAAUACGUAGGUGGCAAGCGUUAUCCGGAAUUAUUGGGCGUAAAGCGCGCGUAGGCGGUUUUUUAAGUCUGAUGUGAAAGCCCACGGCUCAACCGUGGAGGGUCAUUGGAAACUGGAAAACUUGAGUGCAGAAGAGGAAAGUGGAAUUCCAUGUGUAGCGGUGAAAUGCGCAGAGAUAUGGAGGAACACCAGUGGCGAAGGCGACUUUCUGGUCUGUAACUGACGCUGAUGUGCGAAAGCGUGGGGAUCAAACAGGAUUAGAUACCCUGGUAGUCCACGCCGUAAACGAUGAGUGCUAAGUGUUAGGGGGUUUCCGCCCCUUAGUGCUGCAGCUAACGCAUUAAGCACUCCGCCUGGGGAGUACGACCGCAAGGUUGAAACUCAAAGGAAUUGACGGGGACCCGCACAAGCGGUGGAGCAUGUGGUUUAAUUCGAAGCAACGCGAAGAACCUUACCAAAUCUUGACAUCCUUUGACAACUCUAGAGAUAGAGCUUUCCCCUUCGGGGGACAAAGUGACAGGUGGUGCAUGGUUGUCGUCAGCUCGUGUCGUGAGAUGUUGGGUUAAGUCCCGCAACGAGCGCAACCCUUAAGCUUAGUUGCCAUCAUUAAGUUGGGCACUCUAAGUUGACUGCCGGUGACAAACCGGAGGAAGGUGGGGAUGACGUCAAAUCAUCAUGCCCCUUAUGAUUUGGGCUACACACGUGCUACAAUGGACAAUACAAAGGGCAGCGAAACCGCGAGGUCAAGCAAAUCCCAUAAAGUUGUUCUCAGUUCGGAUUGUAGUCUGCAACUCGACUACAUGAAGCUGGAAUCGCUAGUAAUCGUAGAUCAGCAUGCUACGGUGAAUACGUUCCCGGGUCU